rnacentral:rRNA from 1 species
AUUGAACGCUGGCGGCAUGCUUUACACAUGCAAGUCGAACGGCAGCACGGGUGCUUGCACCUGGUGGCGAGUGGCGAACGGGUGAGUAAUGCAUCGGAACGUGCCCAUGAGUGGGGGAUAGCCCGGCGAAAGCCGGAUUAAUACCGCAUACGCCCUUAGGGGGAAAGCGGGGGAUCUUCGGACCUCGCGCUAUUGGAGCGGCCGAUGUCGGAUUAGCUAGUAGGUGAGGUAAAGGCUCACCUAGGCGACGAUCCGUAGCUGGUCUGAGAGGAUGAUCAGCCACACUGGGACUGAGACACGGCCCAGACUCCUACGGGAGGCAGCAGUGGGGAAUUUUGGACAAUGGGCGCAAGCCUGAUCCAGCCAUGCCGCGUGAGUGAUGAAGGCCCUAGGGUUGUAAAGCUCUUUCAGCUGGGAAGAUAAUGACGGUACCAGCAGAAGAAGCCCGGCUAACUCCGUGCCAGCAGCCG